ensembl:snRNA U6 U6 spliceosomal RNA
GUGCUCACUUUGGCAGCACAUAUAUUAAAGUUGGAACCAUACAGGGAAUAUUAGCAUGGCUCCUGCACAAGGAUGACAUGCAGAUUCGUGAAGCACUCCAUAUUUUU